UCAGUCGACUCCUACGGGAGGCAGCAGUGGGAAUAUUGGACAAUGGGCGCAAGCCUGAUCCAGCCAUGCCGCGUGAGUGAUGAAGGCCCUAGGGUUGUAAAGCUCUUUUGUGCGGGAAGAUAAUGACGGUACCGCAAGAAUAAGCCCCCGGCUAACUUCGUGCCAGCAGCCGCGGUAAUACGAAGGGGGGCUAGCGUUGCUCGGAAUCACUGGGCGUAAAGGGUGCGUAGGCGGGUCGUUUAAGUCAGGGGUGAAAUCCUGGAGCUCAACUCCAGAACUGCCUUUGAUACUGAAGAUCUUGAGUUCGGGAGAGGUGAGUGGAACUGCGAGUGUAGAGGUGAAAUUCGUAGAUAUUCGCAAGAACACCAGUGGCGAAGGCGGCUCACUGGCCCGAUACUGACGCUGAGGCACGAAAGCGUGGGGAGCAAACAGGAUUAGAUACCCCUGGUAG
rnacentral:rRNA from 1 species